AUCUAUAUAAUUAAAUUACCUAAGAUAAACCAAUUAUGAAAAAAUGAUAAGUAUCUAAAAUUAGACCCGAAGGCUAGUGAUCUUACCAUGAUCAGGGUUAAAAAGGCCCGAACGGGUUAUCGUUGUAUAGAUAUCCGAUGAAUUGUGGUAAGUUAGUGAAAGAUAAAACUGACUAGUAUAGCUGGUUUUCCGCGAAACCUAUGUGAGUAGGUAAUUUAAUUAACAUCUUAGCAGGUACAGAACUGUGAUCUCGGACAAUAUUAUUUUUAUAAUACUUGUUUACAUCGGGGGAUUGUAGUGAUUUUAUCGGAGAGUAUUUGCACUCGGAAGGGCAAAGAUGAAUAUUGAAUAAUCGGACAUAGUACGAUAAGGUUGUAUGUCUAAAGGGAAACAGCCCAGAACAAGAGUUUAAGGUUCCAAAAUUAUUGUUAAGUGAAAUUAAGGAUGUUUUUUUCAAAAACAAUCAGGAAAUAGGCUUAGAGGCGGCCAUUUUUUGAAGAUCUCGUAACAGAGCACUGAUUAAAUUUAAUAGGAAAAAAUACCGAAAAUUUAACGGAUCUAAAUAAUAUACCGAAACCUUGUACACAAUAACUGUGGGGUAGCGGAACAUCGGAUGUUUGAAUAAUUAGUAUAUUUAUUUUAUUAAGUAUACUUACACAUAUAAGUCAAAUGUAUUGUUUAUAAAAAAAAUAUAUUUAUAUAUUUUUUUUAUAAAUUUUCAUUUUUCAUAGAUUGGCUCAUAUUUUGAGUUUGACUUAUAUUGUUGAGAGAAUUCCGAUAGAGAAUGCUGACAUGAGUAACGAAAAAGUUAACCUCGCCUUAAGCUUAUGGUAUUUAAAUUAAUUUUCGGUGUCUAAGUAAUUAAUCUAAAGAUAAUUACGAUGACGUAAUGGUGAAUUUUUAAUUUAUAUAAUUAUAAAUUUAACUAAUUACAAAACUAUAAGUAACAAUAUAUAUAAUAUAUUACUAUAAUGAAAGAUUGCAUAACCUUUGUAAAGUAGCAGAGGUUCAGGAAAUAAGUUUUUUAUUAUAUACUAUUUAUAUUAUACAAAAUAUUGUUAUAUUAAAUGAUAUAGUAAUAAAAAAGUAAUUAGCAUAUACCGUACCUAGAUACUAUCACAAGUAAGCAAGUAGAGUAUACAAAGGCGUUUGAGUGAACAAUCAUUAAGGAACUCGGCAAAUUGACUACCGUAACUUCGGGAUAAGGAGAACCAUUUUUAUUAGUUUGACCAAUUUUAUAUUGGAUAAUUAUUAAAUUAAUAGAAAGAGGGGGCAUAGAAUAAUGUUGUACGACUGUUUAAUAAAAACAAAGCACUCUGCCAAGAUAAAAGUCUAAGUAUUGAGUGUGAUGUCUGCCCAAUGUCGGCUGGAUAACGAAUUUAUCUUGAUAUUUAUUUAAGGUUUUGAAGGAUACCCCGAUCAAUGGCGGCCU
rnacentral:ncRNA from 1 species